rnacentral:rRNA from 1 species
UACGUAGGGGGCUAGCGUUGUCCGGAUUUAUUGGGCGUAAAGAGCGUGUAGGCGGCCAGGUAGGUCUGCUGUGAAAACUCGAGGCUCAACCUCGAGACGUCGGCGGAAACCAUCUGGCUAGAGUCCGGAAGAGGAGAGUGGAAUUCCUAGUGUAGCGGUGAAAUGCGCAGAUAUCAGGAAGAACACCCGUGGCGAAGGCGGCUCUCUGGGACGGUACUGACGCUGAGACGCGAAAGCGUGGGGAGCGAACAGG